rnacentral:rRNA from 1 species
CAGUAGCCGCGGUAAUACGAAGGGUGCAAGCGUUACUCGGAAUUACUGGGCGUAAAGCGUGCGUAGGUGGUGGUUUAAGUCCGUUGUGAAAGCCCUGGACUCAACCUGGGAAUGGCAAUGGAUACUGGCAAGCUAGAGUGUGUCAGAGGAUGGUGGAAUUCCCGGUGUAGCGGUGAAAUGCGUAGAGAUCGGGAGGAACAUCAGUGGCGAAGGCGGCCAUCUGGGACAACACUGACGCUGAGGCACGAAAGCGUGGGGAGCAAACAGGAUUAGAUACCCCGGUAGUCCCUGUCUCUUAUAC